UGGCAGUAUGCGCAAGUUAGGCCCUUUUGUAAUAUGACAAAGGGUUUAUCCUGUCUGCCA
rnacentral:pre_miRNA from 1 species